rnacentral:rRNA from 1 species
GACGAACGCUGGCGGCGUGCUUAACACAUGCAAGUCGAACGGAAAGGCCCUGCUUUUGUGGGGUGCUCGAGUGGCGAACGGGUGAGUAACACGUGAGUAACCUGCCCUUGACUUUGGGAUAACUUCAGGAAACUGGGGCUAAUACCGGAUAGGAGCUCCUGCUGCAUGGUGGGGGUUGGAAAGUUUCGGCGGUUGGGGAUGGACUCGCGGCUUAUCAGCUUGUUGGUGGGGUAGUGGCUUACCAAGGCUUUGACGGGUAGCCGGCCUGAGAGGGUGACCGGCCACAUGGGGACGGGGAAACGGCCCAGACCCCUACGGGGGGCAGAGGGGGGGAAUAUUGCACAAGGGGCGGAAGCCUGAUGCAGCAACGCCGGGUGGGGGAUGACGGCCUUGGGGUGGAAAACCGCUUUCGCCUGUGACGAAGCGUGGGUGACGGUAAUGGGAAAAGAAGCACCGGCUAACUACGU